UCCUGAAGCUGAAGGUCAGCAUAGACAAAGGGCCUCAGAAUCGCGCAGGCGCAACUGUGCCCUGGGUUGCCAAGAUGUCGUUCCCAAAGUAUAAGCCGUCGAGCCUGCGCACUCUGCCUGAGACCCUCGACCCAGCCGAAUACAACAUAUCUCCGGAAACCCGGCGGGCGCAAGCCGAGCGGUUGGCCAUAAGAGCCCAGCUGAAACGAGAGUACCUGCUUCAGUACAACGAUCCCAACCGCCGAGGGCUCAUCGAAAAUCCUGCCUUGCUUCGUUGGGCCUAUGCAAGAACAAUAAAUGUCUAUCCUAAUUUCAGACCCACUCCUAAAAACUCACUCAUGGGAGCUCUGUGUGGAUUUGGGCCCCUCAUCUUCAUUUAUUAUAUUAUCAAAACUGAGAGGGGACAGAGAAGCACAAGCUGCCUUUGUGGGGAAUAGCUGCCGUCAGCAGCCUGGGUAUAUGAUUGGAGAGAAAGUCAAGCUGAUCUUUGACAUCAAACCAUUCCACAUCUGGUACUAAACCCUGAGCUGCAGCCCCCAGGCUUGUGUUGCCACUGGAGCCCACUCGUCUAGCUUUGUCUUUAACUGGCCCAUCUGCAUUCCCAUUAGAGUUCGUGUAUUUUGAUUAUCUGGUGAAUGAUCUACUUAACAGAAAGGAUAGGAAAGAAAAACUUAUCCAGGAAGGAAAAUUGGAUCGAACAUUUCACCUCUCAUAUUAAGUCUGGCAAUGAUGACUAUAUGUAUUCCUGCCUAAAUAAAUCAUCUAUUAAUCAUUAA